rnacentral:miRNA from 1 species
AUUUUUAAAAUCAGCUAUUUAAGAAACGAUUUUGUAUGUAGUAUACAAAAUCAGUUCUUGAAUAACCGAUUUUAAAAGU